rnacentral:piRNA from 1 species
UGGCUAUAAUCACAUCCACUAACAUCCU